UAUAAUAAAGAUAUAGAAUAAAAUAUUUAAUUUUCUCAUAAAACAAUAUUUUUAGAACACUACGUAAUUAAUUUUUACAGCAAAAAAGCAAAAUAAAUUCAUAUAUAUUGUAAUACAGAUAACCAAAGUAUAAAAUUAAAUUUGCAGUGACACGUGGGCCCACGACCGACCAAAGGUAUCUAGAGAGAUAAACCUACAUAUUUUGAGGAUGCUAGUCCAAUUGUAAUCCUCGAUGAAAUGAGCUAUCUACGGACUAUCCUGAGCCUGAAAUGGGUGGAAAGGAGGGUGGUGAGAUUAUAUAAUCCCAGUGAGUAAACAAAUACCAUCUAAAAUAUCUAAAGUCGAGUAAAUGGAGACAAAUAAAAUAAAUCAUCAUACUUUAAUUUAUCAUCUUUCAACUCAUUUCAACCAAAUAAAAUUCAAUUCAUUUAAAUUGAGUAAUCAACAUGGCUUAUGAAUUUCUUAAAACUUGGCUCAUGCCAAAAAUUAUUCUCAUACUCAGUUAUCGGGGAUACCUUGGCCGAGGGUUAUCCCAAAUCGAGUUUGCCAAGGCUAUUAAAAAGUUAUAUACUCAUAAAUUAUGUUUUUAUUUAGAAAAUAUAGUCGUUCCUUGGCGUUGGCUGAGUUCCCCCUCACAUGGUGGUUUGGCGUGAAGUGAACUCUAAAAGUUAUACCUCGGGAGUUACCCUACUCGCCUCUCCAACUGAGGUAAAAUAUGUCAGGAUUUCGUGCCCCUCUAAUAGGCUAGUCCACAGAACCCAGCCCACUGCAGCAAGCAAUACCCACCAUACAAUAAAAUUUUGACAGCAUGACAGGGUUAAUUUAAUACUACCCAGCCUGCAAAUGUAAAAUAGAACAAUUCAUACAGUUCACAAAAACCACAACCCAGCCAGUCAUGCCAACACAUUAACAUAAGCCAUUUAUUCAAAUCAUAAAUUUACAACAUAUCAGUGGUCUCCAAUUACUCUAUUUUUCAAAAUCAUUAUUCAAUUUCAAGACAAUUUAUAAAAUCAUUUCGUUUAAACACAUUUUGUUUAUAAAACAUAAAGAUUUGCCAUUUAAACUCAUUUUCCAUAAAAUCAUAAAAUCGGAUAAAAACUACUUUAGAUAAUUAAGACGAUAGUAAGGUUACUCACUAUUUCAGGAGUCAAAUUUCUAUAGUAUUUCGACUAUUGAUCCUCGGGUACAAUUUCCUUGCCCUUGUCGGAAGACUCACCACCUUGAAAUAGUACAAAAUCGAGAAACUUAUUACAUUGGUACUAAAUCGAAAUUAAACUAAUUUAGACUAAUGCAUGAUAUGGAAUGCAAAAUGUUCGAUUAAUCGCUUAAAUGUGAUAUUCGACCUAAGUCACACUAUACUCGGUCUAAUCGGCUAAAAUCUCCAAUUUAACUCCAAAUCAAUUCUUCUCACUUUCUACACUCCAAUUAUACCUAAAUUGCCUCAGUGACAGUGAAUGAGAUUCAAUUUAUCAGUCCCGGGUCAAUAAUCACACAUGUCUAUACGUUGAGCAAAAAUUUAGAUUUCCACACCAAAAUUUCCCAUUUAAUUUCUAACCUCCCCAAACAUCAAAUAUCACCAAAAUAUCAUGAAAUAUCAUCAAUUUCAGCCUCAAUAUUCUCCCUAGAAAAUUCAGCCUCUUAUGGGUAAUGCGAGAAAAUGAAUUUUUUUUAUUGGCUUUUCAUGCUACACAUCACUAACUAACUAAAAACACUAGAAUAUCUUAGAAUCUACCCAAAACAUAAUCAAAUUCUCUCUCCUAGGUGUUCGGCCAGCAAGGGUAUCCUCAUGAAAUCUUGAGUCCUAAGCAUGGAAAAUGAAAAAGAAAGCAUGGGUAGUGUAAAUCACAAGAUAAAAUCAAGAAAUUUUACCUUUAUUAGCUUAAUCCCUUGAAAUUCCACACUUUUUCUUCAAUUUUUCCACCUAGGGUUCUUGUUCUUCUUUUCCUCUCUUUGUUCUUGCUAUGGCCGGC
rnacentral:lncRNA from 1 species